rnacentral:rRNA from 1 species
UUAGUGUGUAUCAAUCGAGUUUCUGACCUAUCAGCUUUUGAUGUUAGGGUAUUGGCCUAACAUGGCUAUGACGGGUAACGGGGAAUUAGAGUUCGAUUCCGGAGAGGGAGCCUGAGAAAUAGCUACCACAUCUAAGGAAGGCAGCAGGCGCGUAAAUUACCCAAUUCUAAAGAAGAGAGGUAGUGACAAGAAAUAACAAUGCAAGGCCAAAUUUUGGUUUUGCAAUUGGAAUGAUGGGAAUUUAAAACCUUCCCAGAAGGCAAUUGGAGGGCAAGUCUGGUGCCAGCAGCCGCGGUAAUUCCAGCUCCAAUAGCGUAUAUUAAAAUUGUUGCAGUUAAAACGCUCGUAGUUGAAUUUCAAGGAAUCAAUAUUUUAAGUAAUGCUUUGUAUAUUUAUAACAAAGUUGUACAUUAAGAAUAAACGCCA